rfam:Paenibacillus sp. FSL H8-0548 NODE_55_length_44217_cov_1.45802_ID_11394, whole genome shotgun sequence.
UACCUCCUGCGAUGCUCGUUACGGCUUUACGCUGUUUUGAACCAAUGGCUGUUUCACGGGAGACCAAUAUCGAGACGUAGCUGACAUGCCCCCGAAAGGGGAUCUCAAAAGCGGUUCUGCGGUCACCCACCUGCGUAAGCGGGUUCAGAAACAUGUGAGUCGGACGGCAUAGGCGGGUUUUCA